GCCUACGGGGCGCAGCAGUGAGGAAUAUUGGUCAAUGGGCGGAAGCCUGAACCAGCCAAGUCGCGUGAGGGAAUAAGGCCCUACGGGUCGUAAACCUCUUUUGCCGGGGAGCAAGGGCGGGGACGUGUCCCGGCCCGGAGAGUACCCGGAGAAAAAGCAUCGGCUAACUCCGUGCCAGCAGCCGCGGUAAUACGGAGGAUGCGAGCGUUAUCCGGAUUUAUUGGGUUUAAAGGGUGCGUAGGCGGGCUUUUAAGUCAGCGGUAACAAUUCGGGGCUCAACCCCGUCGGGUCGUUGAAACUGGGGG
rnacentral:rRNA from 1 species